rnacentral:rRNA from 1 species
GACGAACGCUGGCGGCGUGCUUAACACAUGCAAGUCGAGCGGUAAGGCCUUUCGGGGUACACGAGCGGCGAACGGGUGAGUAACACGUGGGUGAUCUGCCCUGCACUUCGGGAUAAGCCUGGGAAACUGGGUCUAAUACCGGAUAUGACCUCCUAUCGCAUGGUGGGUGGUGGAAAGAUUUAUCGGUGCAGGAUGGGCCCGCGGCCUAUCAGCUUGUUGGUGGGGUAAUGGCCUACCAAGGCGACGACGGGUAGCCGACCUGAGAGGGUGACCGGCCACACGGGGACUGAGACACGGCGCAGACUCCUACGGGAGGCAGCAGUGGGGAAUAUUGCACAAUGGGCGAAAGCCUGAUGCAGCGACGCCGCGUGAGGGAUGACGGCCUUCGGGUUGUAAACCUCUUUCAGCAGGGACGAAGCGCAAGUGACGGUACCUGCAGAAGAAGCACCGGCUAACUACGUG